rnacentral:rRNA from 1 species
UACAGAGGUCUCAAGCGUUGUUCGGAUUCAUCGGGCGUAAAGGGUGCGUAGGUGGCAUGGUAAGUCGGAUGUGAAAUCCCGGGGCUCAACCCCGGAACUGCAUUCGAUACUGCUGCGCUAGAGUACUGGAGAGGAGAUUGGAAUUUACGGUGUAGCAGUGAAAUGCGUAGAUAUCGUAAGGAAGACCAGUGGCGAAGGCGGAUCUCUGGACAGUUACUGACACUGAGGCACGAAGGCCAGGGGAGCAAACGGG